UAAAACAUUAAGUUUGAUGUUUGCAGGUAGGUUACCUUCCUACUGGAGUUUGUUCGACAAAUGAAUGACUCUGAUGCCUCCAUUUUCUUAUUAGGAAUGUAGAACUACCUACCUGGAAUGAAACCAGGAGAUUUCUAUCUCAAAAGUAGGUAAUUACAGAUAAGGUCUUUAGCUAAUUCCCUGUUAAAAUGUGUUAAAAUCAGAUGAGUGAUAAUACCUUUUACAAUUCAGCAACCUUCUGUAAUACGCAAGUAAAAUGUUAAUAAAGUAUUUAUGGGUAGCAUAAACCAAGGCUGAAUUCUAGUAGGCAGGAUCCAAUGAGGAGCAAGGAGACUUGCCCUCAGGGAGGGUCAGCAGGUUGUGUAUCCUGGUCAAGCCACUCUGCUUCUACCUCCAUAAUGGGGGGGACAGUACUAAUGAUCUCUCCCUUAUCUACUUCAUAAAUCAUUCGGAGUGCCUCAAGAACAGGUCAUAUUCAUAUCAUCAUUCAUCUUACCUCACAAGGGGCUUCGAUGCACUGAGAUCUUUAUAGGGACCUGGUAAAUAUGACUAUCUGCUUCCUCUCUCCCCACAGGGCAAAGGGGAGGCGAUGGAGGCGGUGAAAGCAGCUCAGAUCAGUACCCACCUCUGUUCCGACGGAUACUGGUUUUCAGGCAUCAUCUUUGGCAUCUGCAGGGGCUGAUGGGGUGGCCGGGGGACCGCAAAGGUUUGCUGCUGUGGUCCAGGUUCAGGAAGCGAAUGAGGGGCGGGGGCGGGGCCCACACCUUGUACCGGGCCAGCUGCAGGGGCAUGUGCAGAGGUGGGCAGAGUUGCCUGAGGUGGGGGAAAUAGGGAGUUCUGAUGGGUGGGUGACAGGGGGGUGGUGGGAGGGGUUAAUGGCUUGAACCCAGAGGGAGGCUUCCUAUCAUAGGCACUGUAAACAGAAAAAGAGAAGGAACCGUUAAGCUGCAAUGAAGCCAUUAGCAUGGUCACCAGAUCCAGCAGAACAGCUAGGCUAGGUUGCAGUCCAUGUUGCCAGGAAAUGACAGCAUUAACAUAGUUAAAUUGCUGGCAGCCCCGAGGGAAUAUUUGUACCUCUGAAAAGUGACAAACACACUGCGUCACAGGGACUUGUUUAACACUUCUAGUGAUUCUUCUCAAAGAUAAUUUUAGCCUCUGUUUCCGGUUUCCUUUUCCCCCCUUCUAACAGAAUUCUCCAUGUAUGUGUGUGUAGGGACGGAUGGGUGGAAGAGGGGAGAGUUUAUGCCCUGGGAGGUUUCUGGCCCACUCUCCCAAGUAUUCCAGGGUUCCCAGGAACUAGUCAGAAUCUCUGUUGCAGAUAAAUUUCUGCUGUAACAUCACUUGAAUUAACGACUCUUCUCCCCCUUUCAGGCAGAUCUAUGUUUAUCUUCUAGAGCAAAGAAUGAUUUAAAAUUAAAGCCUCAUUCCUGGGGCCUGGAUAUUCCUAAGUAAAGGGCACAAGCCUUGGGACUUUUUCAUAUAUUCUGAUUUGAAGAUUACUUCUUUGGUGCUUAAAGUUCACAUUAACAUAUGAUAGACAUGAAGAAGUAUAUAUUCCCUCCCUAGAAGCCACAGAUCAAAUAUCUCAGUAUUCAAGGUUCUUUCCCUUAGGAGGGCUCAGUACCCCAUGAACUCAGUUCCCCCAUGGAGCCAGUUUAGCAGUUUUGCUUUUUAUGUGCAGCACAAAGGCCCCAUUUGGACUGGCCUACACUAGGGGAUUACGUUGCCAUGAAAGACCAGGA
rnacentral:lncRNA from 1 species